UCGUCACACUAUCAUUAACUGAAUCCAUAGGUUAAUGAGGCGAACCGGGGGAACUGAAACAUCUAAGUACCCCGAGGAAAAGAAAUCAACCGAGAUUCCCCCAGUAGCGGCGAGCGAACGGGGAGGAGCCCAGAGCCUGAAUCAGCAUGUGUGUUAGUGGAAGCGUCUGGAAAGGCGCGCGAUACAGGGUGACAGCCCCGUACACAAAAGCGCAUGUGCUGUGAGCUCGAUGAGUAGGGCGGGACACGUGGUAUCCUGUCUGAAUAUGGGGGGACCAUCCUCCAAGGCUAAAUACUCCUGACUGACCGAUAGUGAACCAGUACCGUGAGGGAAAGGCGAAAAGAACCCCGGCGAGGGGAGUGAAAAAGAACCUGAAACCGUGUACGUACAAGCAGUGGGAGCACCCUUCGGGGUGUGACUGCGUACCUUUUGUAUAAUGGGUCAGCGACUUAUAUUCUGUAGCAAGGUUAACCGUAUAGGGGAGCCGGAGGGAAACCGAGUCUUAAUUGGGCGUUAAGUUGCAGGGUAUAGACCCGAAACCCGGUGAUCUAGCCAUGGGCAGGUUGAAGGUUGGGUAACACUAACUGGAGGACCGAACCGACUAAUGUUGAAAAAUUAGCGGAUGACCUGUGGCUGGGGGUGAAAGGCCAAUCAAACCGGGAGAUAGCUGGUUCUCCCCGAAAGCUAUUUAGGUAGCGCCUCGUGAAUUCAUCUCCGGGGGUAGAGCACUGUUUCGGCUAGGGGGCCAUCCCGGCUUACCAACCCGAUGCAAACUGCGAAUACCGGAGAAUGUUAUCACGGGAGACACACGGCGGGUGCUAACGUCCGUCGUGAAGAGGGAAACAACCCAGACCGCCAGCUAAGGUCCCAAAGUCAUGGUUAAGUGGGAAACGAUGUGGGAAGGCCCAGACAGCCAGGAUGUUGGCUUAGAAGCAGCCAUCAUUUAAAGAAAGCGUAAUAGCUCACUGGUCGAGUCGGCCUGCGCGGAAGAUGUAACGGGGCUAAACCAUGCACCGAAGCUGCGGCAGCGAACGUAUCACCCAAGACAACUUUACGGAGUUGACGAUUGACGGAGCGAAGCGACGUCAAAGCGUUCAUUAAAGUCGAGUUGGCUUAGGGAUACGUUCGUUGGGUAGGGGAGCGUUCUGUAAGCCUGUGAAGGUGUGUCGUGAGGCAUGCUGGAGGUAUCAGAAGUGCGAAUGCUGACAUAAGUAACGAUAAAGCGGGUGAAAAGCCCGCUCGCCGGAAGACCAAGGGUUCCUGUCCAACGUUAAUCGGGGCAGGGUGAGUCGACCCCUAAGGCGAGGCCGAAAGGCGUAGUCGAUGGGAAACGGGUUAAUAUUCCCGUACUUGGUGUUACUGCGAAGGGGGGACGGAGAAGGCUAUGUUGGCCGGGCGACGGUUGUCCCGGUUUAAGCGUGUAGGUGUGUGUUCCAGGUAAAUCCGGUUCACUUUAACACUGAGGCGUGACGACGAGGCACUACGGUGCUGAAGCAACAAAUGCCCUGCUUCCAGGAAAAGCCUCUAAGCAUCAGGUAACAUCAAAUCGUACCCCAAACCGACACAGGUGGUCAGGUAGAGAAUACCAAGGCGCUUGAGAGAACUCGGGUGAAGGAACUAGGCAAAAUGGUGCCGUAACUUCGGGAGAAGGCACGCUGACACGUAGGUGAAGUGAUUUACUCAUGGAGCUGAAGUCAGUCGAAGAUACCAGCUGGCUGCAACUGUUUAUUAAAAACACAGCACUGUGCAAACACGAAAGUGGACGUAUACGGUGUGACGCCUGCCCGGUGCCGGAAGGUUAAUUGAUGGGGUCAGCGCAAGCGAAGCUCCUGAUCGAAGCCCCGGUAAACGGCGGCCGUAACUAUAACGGUCCUAAGGUAGCGAAAUUCCUUGUCGGGUAAGUUCCGACCUGCACGAAUGGCGUAAUGAUGGCCAGGCUGUCUCCACCCGAGACUCAGUGAAAUUGAACUCGCUGUGAAGAUGCAGUGUACCCGCGGCAAGACGGAAAGACCCCGUGAACCUUUACUAUAGCUUGACACUGAACAUUGAGCCUUGAUGUGUAGGAUAGGUGGGAGGCUUUGAAGUGUGGACGCCAGUCUGCAUGGAGCCGACCUUGAAAUACCACCCUUUAAUGUUUGAUGUUCUAACGUGGACCCGUAAUCCGGGUUGCGGACAGUGUCUGGUGGGUAGUUUGACUGGGGCGGUCUCCUCCUAAAGAGUAACGGAGGAGCACGAAGGUUGGCUAAUCCUGGUCGGACAUCAGGAGGUUAGUGCAAUGGCAUAAGCCAGCUUGACUGCGAGCGUGACGGCGCGAGCAGGUGCGAAAGCAGGUCAUAGUGAUCCGGUGGUUCUGAAUGGAAGGGCCAUCGCUCAACGGAUAAAAGGUACUCCGGGGAUAACAGGCUGAUACCGCCCAAGAGUUCAUAUCGACGGCGGUGUUUGGCACCUCGAUGUCGGCUCAUCACAUCCUGGGGCUGAAGUAGGUCCCAAGGGUAUGGCUGUUCGCCAUUUAAAGUGGUACGCGAGCUGGGUUUAGAACGUCGUGAGACAGUUCGGUCCCUAUCUGCCGUGGGCGCUGGAGAACUGAGGGGGGCUGCUCCUAGUACGAGAGGACCGGAGUGGACGCAUCACUGGUGUUCGGGUUGUCAUGCCAAUGGCACUGCCCGGUAGCUAAAUGCGGAAGAGAUAAGUGCUGAAAGCAUCUAAGCACGAAACUUGCCCCGAGAUGAGUUCUCCCUGAGACUUAGAGUCUCCUGAAGGAACGUUGAAGACGACGACGUUGAUAGGCCGGGUGUGUAAGCGCAGCGAUGCGUUGAGCUAACCGGUACUAAUGAACCGUGAGGCUUAACCUUACA
rnacentral:rRNA from 1 species